rnacentral:rRNA from 1 species
GAUGAACGCUGGCGGCGUGCCUAAUACAUGCAAGUCGAGCGAACAGAUGAGGAGCUUGCUCCUCUGACGUUAGCGGCGGACGGGUGAGUAACACGUGGAUAACCUACCUAUAAGACUGGGAUAACUUCGGGAAACCGGAGCUAAUACCGGAUAAUAUAUUGAACCGCAUGGUUCAAUAGUGAAAGACGGUUUUGCUGUCACUUAUAGAUGGAUCCGCGCCGCAUUAGCUAGUUGGUAAGGUAACGGCUUACCAAGGCAACGAUGCGUAGCCGACCUGAGAGGGUGAUCGCCCACACUGGAACUGAGACACGGUCCAGACUCCUACGGGAGGCAGCAGUAGGGAAUCUUCCGCAAUGGGCGAAAGCCUGACGGAGCAACGCCGCGUGAGUGAUGAAGGUCUUCGGAUCGUAAAACUCUGUUAUUAGGGAAGAACAAAUGUGUAAGUAACUAUGCACGUCUUGACGGUACCGAAUCAGAAAGCCACGGCUAACUACGUG